AGACGGGCUGCCCAGCUCUUUGUGAAUUGGAGCCCUGAACACCCCUCCUGUACCUCCUGGCCCCUUUCCUUGCUGACUGCCAGGCUGGGCUCUAUGCACAGCUCGGGAAGCUUCUGAAGGCUCCACGUGUAUUUCUGCAGCAGGAAAAUGGAUCAGCUGUCCAAGCUCGAGCCUGAGUCCACCCUCAAGGCCUGGAGGUAGCCUGUGAGUCAGGAGGGACUAGGGACCCAGGCAGCCUGACCCCAAGCCACGUCGAGCACAAGGCACCCGUGUGCACACAGCCACGUUCUAUACUCCGAAGGGUCCACCUGAUGCUUGGCUCUUCUACAUACAACUCCGUGAUCUUGAGUGAGGCCUGAAACCUCUCCCAUCCUCAGUUUUCUCAUCAGCAAAAUGGCCCAGGCAGUGGCCCCUGUUCUGCCUGGCGGGGCCUCUGCCAUAUAAGAAAAUUUCGUGCCUAAACUUCGACGGCGGAGAUCUCCGUUUUGAAGCGUCAGAUGGGGAGACAGGCUCAGAAAAGCACAGCGAGGUUCUGAGUCCGUGCGGCGACCAGAGGCAGUUCCGCGCCCUGAUCAACCACGUGAGGCUCUGGGGCCAGAGGGAGGCCACACUGUCC